rnacentral:misc_RNA from 1 species
CGCAGCCGCGGUAAUUCCAGCUCCAAUAGCGUAUAUUAAAGUUGCUGCAGUUAAAAAGCUCGUAGUUGAAUUUCGGGAUCAAUAUGUUGGUCGUGCCUCGGUACGUACUAGCUUAUUGGUUUCUUCCUUCUGACGAACCAUAAUGUCAUUUAUUUGGUGUUAUGGGGAAUCAGGACUGUUACUUUGAAAAAAUUAGAGUGUUUAAAGCAGGCUCACGCUUGAAUACAUUAGCAUGGAAUAAUGAAAUAGGACGUUUGAUUCUAUUUUGUUGGUUUCUAGGAUCGACGUAAUGAUUAAUAGGGAUAGUUGGGGGCAUUAGUAUUCAAUUGUCAGAGGUGAAAUUCUUGGAUUUAUUGAAGACUAACUACUGCGAAAGCAUUUGCCAAGGAUGUUUUCAUUAAUCAAGAACGAAAGUUAGGGGAUCGAAGACGAUCAGAUACCGUCGUAGUCUUAACCAUAAACUAUGCCGACUAGGGAUCGGAUGAUGUUAAUUUUUUAAUGUACUCAUUCGGCGCCUUAC